ACAUGGAGCCAUAUCACCCUGUAGCCCAAGACUGGUUGCCCUCUGAAGCUAAGCAGGGUUGAGCCUGGUUCCAUCAU
rnacentral:rRNA from 1 species